rnacentral:rRNA from 1 species
GUCGUGAGACAGUUUGGUCCCUAUCUGCCGUGGGCGCUGGAAGAUUGACGGGGGCUGCUCCUAGUACGAGAGGACCGGAGUGGACGGACCGCUGGUGUACCGGUUGUGAUGCCAAUCGCAUUGCCGGGUAGCUAUGUCCGGAAGGGAUAACCGCUGAAAGCAUCUAAGCGGGAAACCUGCCUGAAGAUAAGUCUUCCCGGAGGCUAGACCUCCUUGAAGAGUCGUUCGAGACCAGGACGUUGAUAGGUCAGGUGUGGAAGCGUUGUGAGACGUUAAGCUAACUGAUACUAAUUGCUCGUAAGGCUUGAUCCU